AACCCAAUGUGAACGUUACCAAACUGUUGCCUCGGCGGGGUCACGCCCCGGGUGCGUAAAAGCCCCGGAACCAGGCGCCCGCCGGAGGAACCAACCAAACUCUUUCUGUAGUCCCCUCGCGGACGUAUUUCUUACAGCUCUGAGCAAAAAUUCAAAAUGAAUCAAAACUUUCAACAACGGAUCUCUUGGUUCUGGCAUCGAUGAAGAACGCAGCGAAAUGCGAUAAGUAAUGUGAAUUGCAGAAUUCAGUGAAUCAUCGAAUCUUUGAACGCACAUUGCGCCCGCCAGUAUUCUGGCGGGCAUGCCUGUCCGAGCGUCAUUUCAACCCUCGAACCCCUCCGGGGGAUCGGCGUUGGGGAUCGGGACCCCUCACCGGGUGCCGGCCCUGAAAUACAGUGGCGGUCUCGCCGCAGCCUCUCCUGCGCAGUAGUUUGCACAACUCGCACCGGGAGCGCGGCGCGUCCACGUCCGUAAAACACCCAACUUCUGAAAUGUUGACCUCGGAUCAGGUAGGAAUACCCGCUGAACUUAAGCAUAUCAAUAAGCGGAGGAA
rnacentral:rRNA from 1 species